rnacentral:rRNA from 1 species
AUUGAACGCUGGCGGCAGGCCUAACACAUGCAAGUCGAGCGGCAGCGGAAAGUAGCUUGCUACUUUGCCGGCGAGCGUCGGACGGGUGAGUAAUGUCUGGGAAACUGCCUGAUGGAGGGGGAUAACUACUGGAAACGGUAGCUAAUACCGCAUAACGUCGCAAGACCAAAGAGGGGGACCUUCGGGCCUCUUGCCAUCAGAUGUGCCCAGAUGGGAUUAGCUAGUAGGUGGGGUAACGGCUCACCUAGGCGACGAUCCCUAGCUGGUCUGAGAGGAUGACCAGCCACACUGGAACUGAGACACGGUCCAGACUCCUACGGGAGGCAGCAGUGGGGAAUAUUGCACAAUGGGCGCAAGCCUGAUGCAGCCAUGCCGCGUGUAUGAAGAAGGCCUUCGGGUUGUAAAGUACUUUCAGCGGGGAGGAAGGUGUUGAGGUUAAUAACCUCAGCAAUUGACGUUACCCGCAGAAGAAGCACCGGCUAACUCCGUG